UGUGUGUGGGUAACGUGGCUACGGGGGAAAUGAUUGAUCAGUUUCUAUGCACUUGGAUUUGAAGACAACAAGAAGUCUCAGGGCCUACUGGAACUAUCUAACAGACAAGCCCCCAGUUUAGGGUCAUGUCUAAUUUUCCAAAAUCCAAUGAAUAUUCCCCUUAAGUCAUAUCCUUUGCAGUCUCACUGAUGCUUUUUAUCUGCCAGGACAUAUGCCUUUUGAAACCACUUUGUAAGUUAAAACAUCAGGAGGUGAGAGUGAACUGAGCUGAGAUUAAAGUAUUAAGAUGAGAUCUGGUUUCUGUUUCAGCCAAGUCCUUGAGGGGGAAACAAAUCCUUAAGACAUUCUAUCGGCAGGUGAGAGGAAGCUACCCAAGACAAGACUACGCAUGUGUGUCAGCCAAGACAUUAUCAGGUUGGAGUUGUCGUCAGUCCUGCCACUGGGUCAUGUGCAGGGGUUUCAUGUACAUGCCCCAGGGUUGAAGGGUAAGGCAGAAGUCCCGAGGGAUCAACAAGAAUAGAACCAUGGCAAGAAACUACUGAUGAUGAGAGAAGAUUCACCAAAGAACCCAAAGAAGCAACAAAACCCAAAGUACUGACAGCAAAGUCAACAGUACAUGAAUCUCAACACUUUUCCUUCCUUGGCCCUCACAUUCUCUUCUUGCCUGCUUUUCCAAAAGAGGAAACCAAAUCCUAGAUUUUUCUACUGGGAGAGGAAAGUACAAGGCAGAGCAAAAGAGGUUUAUAACAUUGCUGUUAUAAACUACCUACAAGGCCUUGCAUAGAACAGGCUGGCACUGGAAGACAGAACACUAAACAAAGCCAUCUGAGCGAGCCUUUCACCUUCUGUUUUUGAGACUGAACAUGGAGUUCACACAUUUAGCUAGACUGGCCAUCUAUCAAGUCCCAGAAAUCUGCCUGUCUCAUCUACCCCAUACAAGAAUUGCAAGAAUGUAUUACCACACUAGGAAGGCUGGGGAUCUAUAAAAAAAAAAAAAAAAAAAGGUUUGCAUCCUUACAUGGCAAACACUUUACCAAAUGAGUCUCUCUUUCUAGUACCAUAUAUGGAGUUUUGACUAUUACAAACAAUUGAAUAUUUAAUUCUUAUAGUGCUAUAAUCUGUGGCUAACAGCAAACAAAAGCAUUUUUAUGAAUAGUGUCUACAAAAGUGGUGGAGGGGUGCCACAUUUCAUGAAAGGAAUGGAGAAUAAUUAGUGCACUGGGCAGGUGUGAUGGCCAUGGGACAAGGCAGUUUUCUGAUCACAUACCUGGGUGUGGCUAUUUUGGAGCAUUCCUAAGAAACAAGUAUAAAGAGUGAUGAAUGGACUUAAGAUGAUGCUUUAAAUGCUACCUGUUUUUCAUCUCCACCCUAUCCCUAGCUCAUAGCUCUCAUUUCCUCAAGCAUGGUGGUUACCAUGGAGCAAGACUGACCAAGACAACUGAGAUGUUACCUGCUGAUGCCUAACAAGUGACAUGUAACCAACCUGUCAGCCUCACCUUUCAGAAUGCCUCUGUCUGUACCUGUUCUCAUGUGCAACAACCCAGGAGGAGUUUGCAUUUAAUAUGUCACUGUCAUUGCCAGGACCCGCAUGGUGGAAUGAGAGAACUAACUGUGUGCCGUUCUCACUGCUGAGAUUUGCAGCUUGCCUGCCAGCCUGGAAGUUUCUCUUUUAGAUUCUAAUACAAUUAUCCUCUUCAAAUAUAAAACAAAACAAAGAAAAAACAGGACAUCUUGUCCAAGAACCUGGAUAUGCUUCAUAAUUGUGUUGACAAGCACA